rnacentral:misc_RNA from 1 species
UUUUUCAUUUCAAAUAUUUGAUGCUUAACUUUUCUAAAAGCAUAAGUUGUGAGGUUAACUAAUGUGUUGUUGGGUGUCCAAUGUUUGUUUCUCUUGCUUGGUUCUCUUUAAUAAGUUUCUUACGUUGCUUGAGCUUGUUAUUUGAACUCAAAAUUGGUUAGGAAGUUUGAGGUUUGUUUCAACAAGCCUACGACACUUUUAUUGCUUU